UACAGGGGGGGCAAGCGUUGUUCGGAAUUACUGGGCGUAAAGGGCUCGUAGGCGGCCAACUAAGUCGGAUGUGAAAUCCCCAGGCUCAACUUGGGAACUGCAUCCGAUACUGGAUGGCUUGAAUUCGGGAGAGGGAUGCAGAAUUCCAGGUGUAGCGGUGAAAUGCGUAGAUAUCUGGAGGAAUACCGGUGGCGAAGGCGGCAUCCUGGACCGACAUUGACGCUGAGGAGCGAAAGCUAGGGGAGCAAACAGG
rnacentral:rRNA from 1 species